rnacentral:lncRNA from 10 species
CCAGGGCCCGCAAAGCACCCAUUGAUGUGAAUGGCUCCUUUCAUAUGAAAAAAACAGUGAGGCUGGUCUCGAACUCCCAACCUCAGAUGAACUGCCUGCCUUGGCCUCCCAAAGUGCUAGGAUUACAGGCAUGAGCAACCGCGCCUGGCCUUUCAAAAGGAUCUUAAUCCCAGGCCAAUGUGGGGAGCACUGUAUAUACUACAGUAUGACUGAGAGUUGUUUUAGAGCCCUGCAAAGUUCCCUUGUUAGCAUUUUAGUCAGGGGUAUGAAGACACUGUGCACUGCAAGACUCAACCCAUUUCUGAUCCCUUUCUCAUGAAUCACUCUGAUACUAUACCCAGAAAAAGCCAUCACAUGCCAUCUAAUGCAUUUCAGGACUGCAUCUGAGCUGCAAGCGGAAGACACAGUAGAUGUGACAUUGACUGUGAACUGCACAUGAAGCAAGUGCAACCUCAGGCCUGCCUUGCUUCAGAAGUUAAAAAUAUUUCGGAGGCAAUAAGGAGCGCACAAACCAUAGUUCCGGUUCUUCCUUUCCACUGGAGAUCCACGCAACCCGGGCAGAGGAAGAGAUUGUUUCUCCCAAGCCUUGGAGCUCAUUCGAGGAGAGACUUGGAGACUUUGUGAGGGAAAGACACAGGGAAACGCUGCCGGCAUUUUCCCAAACCUGGACUGGGAGCAGGACAACACUGGGGGAUCUUCCCUAUCUGGUUCAACCCAUCUUGUGCCCCCAAUCCCCCUACCCCUACAUUUUCUAUUUGAUGUUUUGGGGGAAUUUUUUUAUUUUUGCCGCUUUCCUUAGUUUCUGUCUCCAUUACAACAUCCUAACACUCUAAUUGGCUUUGUAUGGGACAAACAGGAAGUAUUGCUUCUGGCAGGAUGGGAUUUUCUGUCCUGUUGAUUGAUGGAUUAAUUUUUAUUGAGCACGGUGUGCUACCAGCGGAACCAAAAAUCCAAGAUACAAUUCCAGCUCUAGGAGUCUAUGUUCUAAUAAAAGUAAGAACAACAUAUUCAAACAUCCCUGUUUCUUUUUCUCGUCAGUUUCCCUUCUACUGAGACAACUACACAGAUAAUUUAGGACCCCAAAACAUGCUAUUAAAAAAGGACCUGACUGGACCAGACAGCUGGGUGGGGGCAGUGGUUUCAUCUGAAGAGCUUCAGUCAUCAUAUUGGCUGAGUGGCUGCUCGGUGCUGGACUUUAAAAGAGUUAAACAUUUUUCCAGAUUUUUUUGGUUACAUUCUUAUGUCAAGUUAGAUUAAACAAAGUUACAGUCUUGAACUAUGCAGUAGUUUAAACCCAUACAGAAAUCUCUUCACUAAAAUACAACACAAUACUAUAUGGCUCAAUUUCAUGAAGGGCUAACGAUUUUAUAUAGUCAUAUUAAGAAUGUUUCAUUGUCUCUUCAUGUCUGUGAUAUAAGGAUCCAGAUCAUUUUUUUCAUAAAUUAGCAUCCCCCCAAAGAAGUCUCCUUUCCCUAACUAUUCUCUCUUAAUCAAGCACCGAAAGCCAGGAAACCCAGGUAAUAGAUAUUUUCCUAUUUCCUCAGAGCAAAUUUUCGUGCUCAAAUGAAAAAACUGUUUCAUCUUUGGAUCAGUUACAAUAUUUCUGAACCACUAUUUCCUCAUCUAUAAGAUAAAGAAUAUUGGAGAUGAUCAUUUUGUUUCCUUCCAGCUCUGAACCACCCCAACAGACACAAACUUUCUUGUGUGAUUUCUGAUUUCAUUUGCAACCUUACUCAAUUCCAGUAGAAGCUGCAUAGGAGCAGGGUCUAUGUCCAUCUUGUUCAGGUAUAGGCCUAGCUCCUAGCACAUGAA